rnacentral:tRNA from 1 species
GCCCGUCUAGCUCAGUCGGUAGAGCGCAAAGCUCUUAACCUUGUGGUCGUGGGUUCGAGCCCCACGGUGGGCG